GGUUAAGUGAAUAAGGGCGCACGGUGGAUGCCUUGGCACUAGGAGCCGAUGAAGGACGGGACUAACACCGAUAUGCUUUGGGGAGCUGUACGUAAGCUAUGAUCCAGAGAUUUCCGAAUGGGGGAACCCAGCAUCUUUAAUAGGAUGUUACGAUUGUGUGAAUACAUAGCACAUUCGAGGUAGACGCAGAGAACUGAAACAUCUAAGUACCUGCAGGAAGAGAAAGAAAAUUCGAUUCCCUGAGUAGCGGCGAGCGAAACGGGAAAAGCCCAAACCAGCAA
rnacentral:rRNA from 1 species